GACGAAGGAUCCAAGCGUUGUCCGGAUUCAUUGGGUUUAAAGGGCGCGUAGGCGGACUUAUAAGUCAGUGGUGAAAGCCGAUAGCUUAACUAUCGAACUGCCAUUGAUACUGUAGGUCUAGAGUACAGAUGAUGUUGGCGGAAUAUGACAUGUAGCGGUGAAAUGCAUAGAUAUGUCAUAGAACACCGAUUGCGAAGGCAGCUGACAAAACUGUAACUGACGCUGAGGCUCGAAAGUGCGGGGAUCAAACAGG
rnacentral:rRNA from 1 species